GCCGCCUUAGCUCAAUUGGCAGAGCAGCGGUUUUGUAAACCGCAGGUUUCCGGUUCGACCCCGGAAGGCGGCU
rnacentral:tRNA from 1 species